AUUGAACGCUGGCGGCAUGCUUUACACAUGCAAGUCGAACGGCAACAGGCCGCAAGGUGCUGACGAGUGGCGAACGGGUGAGUAAUGCAUCGGAACGUGCCCAGUCGUGGGGGAUAACUACUCGAAAGAGUAGCUAAUACCGCAUACGAUCUAUGGAUGAAAGCGGGGGACCGUAAGGCCUCGCGCGAUUGGAGCGGCCGAUGUCAGAUUAGGUAGUUGGUGGGGUAAAGGCUCACCAAGCCAACGAUCUGUAGCUGGUCUGAGAGGACGACCAGCCACACUGGGACUGAGACACGGCCCAGACUCCUACGGGAGGCAGCAGUGGGGAAUUUUGGACAAUGGGCGCAAGCCUGAUCCAGCAAUGCCGCGUGCAGGAAGAAGGCCUUCGGGUUGUAAACUGCUUUUGUACGGAACGAAACGGCUCUGGUUAAUACCCGGGGCUAAUGACGGUACCGUAAGAAUAAGCACCGGCUAACUACGUG
rnacentral:rRNA from 1 species